AACCCUACGGGGCGCAGCAGUGGGGAAUAUUGGGCAAUGGGCGCAAGCCUGACCCAGCAACGCCGCGUGAAGGAAGAAGGCUUUCGGGUUGUAAACUUCUUUUGUCAGGGACGAAGCAAGUGACGGUACCUGACGAAUAAGCCACGGCUAACUACGUGCCAGCAGCCGCGGUAAUACGUAGGUGGCAAGCGUUAUCCGGAUUUACUGGGUGUAAAGGGCGUGUAGGCGGGGAAGCAAGGCAGGUGGGCAACCCACGGGCUCAACCUGUGGCCUGCCUU
rnacentral:rRNA from 1 species